UACGGAGGGAGCUAGCGUUGUUCGGAAUUACUGGGCGUAAAGCGCGCGUAGGCGGCUUUGUAAGUUAGAGGUGAAAGCCAGGAGCUCAACUCCGGAACUGCCUUUAAAACUGCAUCGCUUGAAUCCAGGAGAGGUGAGUGGAAUUCCGAGUGUAGAGGUGAAAUUCGUAGAUAUUCGGAAGAACACCAGUGGCGAAGGCGGCUCACUGGACUGGUAUUGACGCUGAGG
rnacentral:rRNA from 1 species